AAUGGGGAGGGAGGCCCAGCAGCCUUACAAACGAUGUUGCAGGCACAGGAGGACGCAGAAGACAUCGGUGCAGUGUCCGAGCUAGAGCGGGGCCACAGGUGUAUGGAGAUGGACUCUUAAG